AAUCCUCCUCUUUCUGUUUUAGAUUGUAUCUAUGCUUUUCACAUCAAUAGCAAAGUUGACUCCUGAGGCAGCCAAUCCUUUCUUUAAGUUGUUGACUAUGCUAAUGGAGUUUGCUGGUGGACCUCCAGGAAUGCCUCCCUUUGCAUCUUAUAUUCUGCAGAGGAUAUGGGAGGUGAUUGAAUACAAUCCUUCUCAGUGUCUAGAUUGGUUGGCAGUGCAGACACCCCGAAAUAAACUGGCACACAGCUGGGUCUUACAGAAUAUGGAAAACUGGGUCGAGCGGUUUCUUUUGGCUCACAAUUAUCCUAGAGUGAGGACUUAACCCAGUGGUAACCAAGAACAUUGCCUUCAAUUACAUCCUUGCUGACCAUGAUGAUCAGGAUGUGGUGCUUUUUAACCGUGGGAUGCUGCCAGCCUACUAUGGCAUUCUGAGGCUCUGCUGUGAGCAGUCUCCUGCAUUCACACGACAACUGGCUUCUCACCAGAACAUCCAGUGGGCCUUUAAGAAUCUUACACCACAUGCCAGCCAAUACCCUGGAGCAGUAGAAGAACUGUUUAACCUGAUGCAGCUGUUUAUAGCUCAGAGGCCAGAUAUGAGAGAAGAAGAAUUAGAAGAUAUUAAACAGUUCAAGAAAACAACCAUAAGUUGUUACUUACGUUGCUUAGAUGGCCGCUCCUGCUGGACAACUUUAAUAAGUGCCUUCAGAAUACUAUUAGAAUCUGAUGAAGACAGACUUCUUGUUGUAUUUAAUCGAGGGUUGAUUCUAAUGACAGAG
rnacentral:sRNA from 1 species